AGUGAACGCUGGCGGUAGGCCUAACACAUGCAAGUCGAACGGCAGCACAGUAAGAGCUUGCUCUUACGGGUGGCGAGUGGCGGACGGGUGAGGAAUACAUCGGAAUCUACUUUUUCGUGGGGGGUAACGUAGGGAAACUUACGCUAAUACCGCAUACGACCUACGGGUGAAAGCAGGGGAUCUUCGGACCUUGCGCGUAUGACUGAGCCGAUGUCGGAUUAGCUAGUUGGCGGGGUAAAGGCCCACCAAGGCGACGAUCCGUAGCAGGUCUGAGAGGAUGAUCGGCCACACUGGAACUGAGACACGGCCCAGACUCCUACGGGAGGCAGCAGUGGGGAAUAUUGGACAAUGGGCGCAAGCCUGAUCCAGCCAUACCGCGUGGGUGAAGAAGGCCUUCGGGUUGUAAAGCCCUUUUGUUGGGAAAGAAAAGCAGCAGGUUAAUACCCCGCUGUUCUGACGGUACCCAAAGAAUAAGCACCGGCUAACUUCGUG
rnacentral:rRNA from 1 species